GAGUCUGGCCAUACCACCCUGAAUGAGCCCAAUCUCGCCUGUUCUUGGAAGCUAAGCAGGGUGGGGCCUGGUUAGUACUCACUCAGGUGGAAAAAAGAGAAUCAGGCAGACAUAUGUC
rnacentral:rRNA from 1 species